UACGGAGGGUGCGAGCGUUGUCCGGAAUCACUGGGCGUAAAGGGCGCGUAGGUGGCCUGUGGAAGUCUGCGGUGAAAGCCCGGCGCUCAACGCCGGGUCGGCCGUGGAUACUCUCGGGCUUGAGCUUACUAGAGGCAGAUGGAAUUCCGGGUGUAGCGGUGGAAUGCGUAGAGAUCCGGAAGAACACCGAUGGCGAAGGCAGCCAUCUGGACCGACACUGACGCUGAGGCGCGAAAGCGUGGGAGCGAACAGG
rnacentral:rRNA from 1 species